CUUUUCUCUGAAUAAAUAAAUAAAACAGAUCGAAAAAUAAAGAAUGCCGUUGGAAAGGCUACACUGGUGACUGGAAUCGUAUGUGACGGAGCAUCAUUUGUUUACAUGUGAUAGCAGCUGUAGGCUGUAGCGAAGCUCGCCGAAACCACCACAGGGGGCCUUGAAGAUUGGAAACUCUUGGUUCUAGAGGAAGAUUCUUGAAGACACAAGGCACAGGAUGAAGCCGAGCAUGGUGGCUGAUGAAAUGUUCCCUGAGGGUGCAGGACCAUACAUGGACCUGGAUGAGGCUGGAGGGUCAGGUGGCCUCCUGAUGGAUCUGACAGCUAACGAGAAAGCAGUUCAUGCUGAUUUUCACAAUGACUUUGAUGAUCUCUUUGAUGACGAGGACCUGAGCUGAGGGGUGUCUGGGUGAUCUUGAGAGCAUGAGCCAUGCCUGUAGUGGUCUGCUGUUAGACAGGAGAGUCAAAGGAUUAUGUAGAGAUCUUUCAGGGAGUUGAGUGUGAUGGUUUUUUUUUUUUUUUUUGCUAGAUUUUAUUAUCACAUACAAUGAUAUUUUUUGAGUGAUAGAUAUGCUGUAAGCAUCAGCUUAUUGAUGUGUUAUGUAAUGUAUCAUGCACUUUGUGAAUUAACCUGCUCUGAUUUAGAGGUCAUAUAAGUAUAUAGAUGCAUUUUUCUUUUAAAAAAUUCACUAAAGUUUCAUCUCAGGACUUGCAAUGGUUAUUUAUAUGGACUGUAUUGCCUUUGAUUAAUAUGAGUGAACCACAUAUGGGUUGAUAGAAGAAGAAAAACAAAUGAAUAAAAUAAAUAAGAUUCAAUAAAUUUUGGAGAGUAAUGUGCAGAA